GGCCGGGGACUCCGUGGACUUCAGAGGGCCGGAAGACCUCCUGAAAUACUAAGAAAGCUUCUCCUUCUGGGCGCCAGGCACAGAACUGGGCGCUGAGGGCCGGGGAUUGAACGAGGCUAGCGCGAGCUUUGCUGUCGUGGAAGUUACGUCUAACGGGGAGGCAGAUUUCCGAGGAAAUGAGGUCCUUUUACCUGCAGAGCUGUGCUGUGAGGACCACGAAACGCUGCGAACUGUAAAACACUUCAAAAGGUCUGCUGUCCUGGGAAGUUCUCAAGAGACCUACAGGGACCUGAGGGUCUGGCCCCUGGAGGACCCCAGCCUCAUCGUGCACCUUGCCUCCGCCUGCCCUUCAGUCUCAUGGGCCUUCUUGCAGGCUGGACCUCACCAUGUCACCCCACCAGAGGCCUGUGCACAUGUACUCACUCCAUCUAGGAUCCUCUUUGUCCUCAUGGACACCACUCAGUUCUAAUGUUUGUUUUGUUUCCUCGGAGAGGCCUUUCCUGAUACGCUCAAGUGUCCUUACCGGAGGAGAGUUUUUCACUGCUGCAAUUUUUCAUGCACUGGGGUGACCAUUUCAUGUCUGUCUCCUUGAUAGAUCGUCAUCUCCAUGAAGACAAAGCUGUCCAUUGUUUUUCCAGGGCCCCAAACCCAGCAAGGAUAUAGCAGUCCAUAACGUUGGGAUGACAGGAGCCAGGUGGUGGCACAGUGGUGGCACAGCUGUACCCACAGGAAGGGCUCCUACAUUACAAUCUGAGACCUCUCUGAGCACACAGGGCAUGUAUGUAUGCCCGUGAUCCAGGCUGGCUGAGAUGGGGUGGAACAUGGCAUGGGAGCCCUGGAAUGCCUGUCUAUCUCAUGGAAGGAAUAAAUGGAUACAUUUGAAAUAAGUAAUCAAAUGAGGAUAAUACCCCUUUUCUGGAUUUUAUGAAGAAUUAGGUAAUAGAUUAAACUCCUGCAAGUAUGUGGGCUCAGCCCACACUAGGAUCCCUACCAUCUCCUUAGCUUGUUCUCUCUGGGUUGAGUGCAUUGGAUAGAGGCGAGUGAGAACAGGCAGGAAGGAUCCUCUGGAUUUGACAUGAGCAUUAAGAGCAGGAAGGGCGGGUAGGGAACCAGCAGUUAGCGUAAUGGCUAUGUCG